UACGUAGGGGCCGAGCGUUGUCCGGAGUUAUUGGGCGUAAAGCGCGCGCAGGCGGCUUGGCGCGCCCGACGUGAAAGCCCCCGGCUUAACCGGGGAGAGUCGUCGGGGACGGCCGGGCUUGAGGGCGGGAGAGGGUGGUGGAAUUCCCGGUGUAGUGGUGAAAUUCGUAGAGAUCGGGAGGAACACCAGUGGCGAAGGCGACUAUCUGGCUGACAACUGACGCUGAGACUCGAAAGCAUGGGGAGCAAACAGG
rnacentral:rRNA from 1 species